rnacentral:rRNA from 1 species
GACGAACGCUGGCGGCAUGCCUAACACAUGCAAGUCGAACGGAGAUUAUUUCGGUAAUCUUAGUGGCGAACGGGUGAGUAACGCGUGGGCAACCUGCCCUCUAGAUGGGGACAACAUCCCGAAAGGGGUGCUAAUACCGAAUGUGACAGCAAUCUCGCAUGAGGAUGCUGUGAAAGAUGGCCUCUAUUUAUAAGCUAUCGCUAGAGGAUGGGCCUGCGUCUGAUUAGCUAGUUGGUGGGGUAACGGCCUACCAAGGCGAUGAUCAGUAGCCGGUCUGAGAGGAUGAACGGCCACAAUGGGACUGAGACACGGCCCAGACUCCUACGGGAGGCAGCAGUGGGGAAUCUUCCGCAAUGGGCGAAAGCCUGACGGAGCAAUGCCGCGUGAGUGAUGAAGGAAUUCGUUCCGUAAAGCUCUUUUGUUUAUGACGAAUGUGCAGAUUGUGAACAAUGAUCUGUAAUGACGGUAGUAAACGAAUAAGCCACGGCUAACUACGUG